GGUUAAGCGACUAAGCGUACACGGUGGAUGCCCUGGCAGUCAGAGGCGAUGAAGGACGUGCUAAUCUGCGAUAAGCGUCGGUAAGGUGAUAUGAACCGUUAUAACCGGCGAUUUCCGAAUGGGGAAACCCAGUGUGAUUCGUCACACUAUCAUUAACUGAAUCCAUAGGUUAAUGAGGCGAACCGGGGGAACUGAAACAUCUAAGUACCCCGAGGAAAAGAAAUCAACCGAGAUUCCCCCAGUAGCGGCGAGCGAACGGGGAGGAGCCCAGAGCCUGAAUCAGUGUGUGUGUUAGUGGAAGCGUCUGGAAAGGCGCGCGAUACAGGGUGACAGCCCCGUACACAAAAAUGCACAUACUGUGAGCUCGAUGAGUAGGGCGGGACACGUGGUAUCCUGUCUGAAUAUGGGGGGACCAUCCUCCAAGGCUAAAUACUCCUGACUGACCGAUAGUGAACCAGUACCGUGAGGGAAAGGCGAAAAGAACCCCGGCGAGGGGAGUGAAAAAGAACCUGAAACCGUGUACGUACAAGCAGUGGGAGCCUCUUUAUGGGGUGACUGCGUACCUUUUGUAUAAUGGGUCAGCGACUUAUAUUCUGUAGCAAGGUUAACCGAAUAGGGGAGCCGAAGGGAAACCGAGUCUUAACUGGGCGUUAAGUUGCAGGGUAUAGACCCGAAACCCGGUGAUCUAGCCAUGGGCAGGUUGAAGGUUGGGUAACACUAACUGGAGGACCGAACCGACUAAUGUUGAAAAAUUAGCGGAUGACUUGUGGCUGGGGGUGAAAGGCCAAUCAAACCGGGAGAUAGCUGGUUCUCCCCGAAAGCUAUUUAGGUAGCGCCUCGUGAAUUCAUCUCCGGGGGUAGAGCACUGUUUCGGCAAGGGGGUCAUCCCGACUUACCAACCCGAUGCAAACUGCGAAUACCGGAGAAUGUUAUCACGGGAGACACACGGCGGGUGCUAACGUCCGUCGUGAAGAGGGAAACAACCCAGACCGCCAGCUAAGGUCCCAAAGUCAUGGUUAAGUGGGAAACGAUGUGGGAAGGCCCAGACAGCCAGGAUGUUGGCUUAGAAGCAGCCAUCAUUUAAAGAAAGCGUAAUAGCUCACUGGUCGAGUCGGCCUGCGCGGAAGAUGUAACGGGGCUAAACCAUGCACCGAAGCUGCGGCAGCGACACUAAGUGUUGUUGGGUAGGGGAGCGUUCUGUAAGCCUGUGAAGGUGUGUUGUGAGGCAUGCUGGAGGUAUCAGAAGUGCGAAUGCUGACAUAAGUAACGAUAAAGCGGGUGAAAAGCCCGCUCGCCGGAAGACCAAGGGUUCCUGUCCAACGUUAAUCGGGGCAGGGUGAGUCGACCCCUAAGGCGAGGCCGAAAGGCGUAGUCGAUGGGAAACAGGUUAAUAUUCCUGUACUUGGUGUUACUGCGAAGGGGGGACGGAGAAGGCUAUGUUGGCCGGGCGACGGUUGUCCCGGUUUAAGCGUGUAGGCUGGUUUUCCAGGCAAAUCCGGAAAAUCAAGGCUGAGGCGUGAUGACGAGGCACUACGGUGCUGAAGCGACAAAUGCCCUGCUUCCAGGAAAAGCCUCUAAGCAUCAGGUAACAUUAAAUCGUACCCCAAACCGACACAGGUGGUCAGGUAGAGAAUACCAAGGCGCUUGAGAGAACUCGGGUGAAGGAACUAGGCAAAAUGGUGCCGUAACUUCGGGAGAAGGCACGCUGAUAUGUAGGUGAAGCGACUUGCUCGUGGAGCUGAAAUCAGUCGAAGAUACCAGCUGGCUGCAACUGUUUAUUAAAAACACAGCACUGUGCAAACACGAAAGUGGACGUAUACGGUGUGACGCCUGCCCGGUGCCGGAAGGUUAAUUGAUGGGGUUAGCGCAAGCGAAGCUCUUGAUCGAAGCCCCGGUAAACGGCGGCCGUAACUAUAACGGUCCUAAGGUAGCGAAAUUCCUUGUCGGGUAAGUUCCGACCUGCACGAAUGGCGUAAUGAUGGCCAGGCUGUCUCCACCCGAGACUCAGUGAAAUUGAACUCGCUGUGAAGAUGCAGUGUACCCGCGGCAAGACGGAAAGACCCCGUGAACCUUUACUAUAGCUUGACACUGAACAUUGAGCCUUGAUGUGUAGGAUAGGUGGGAGGCUUUGAAGUGUGGACGCCAGUCUGCAUGGAGCCGGCCUUGAAAUACCACCCUUUAAUGUUUGAUGUUCUAACGUUGGCCCCUUAUCGGGGUUGCAGACAGUGUCUGGUGGGUAGUUUGACUGGGGCGGUCUCCUCCUAAAGAGUAACGGAGGAGCACGAAGGUUGGCUAAUCCUGGUCGGACAUCAGGAGGUUAGUGCAAUGGCAUAAGCCAGCUUGACUGCGAGCGUGACGGCGCGAGCAGGUGCGAAAGCAGGUCAUAGUGAUCCGGUGGUUCUGAAUGGAAGGGCCAUCGCUCAACGGAUAAAAGGUACUCCGGGGAUAACAGGCUGAUACCGCCCAAGAGUUCAUAUCGACGGCGGUGUUUGGCACCUCGAUGUCGGCUCAUCACAUCCUGGGGCUGAAGUAGGUCCCAAGGGUAUGGCUGUUCGCCAUUUAAAGUGGUACGCGAGCUGGGUUUAGAACGUCGUGAGACAGUUCGGUCCCUAUCUGCCGUGGGCGCUGGAGAACUGAGGGGGGCUGCUCCUAGUACGAGAGGACCGGAGUGGACGCAUCACUGGUGUUCGGGUUGUCAUGCCAAUGGCACUGCCCGGUAGCUAAAUGCGGAAGAGAUAAGUGCUGAAAGCAUCUAAGCACGAAACUUGCCCCGAGAUGAGUUCUCCCUGACCCUUUAAGGGUCCUGAAGGAACGUUGAAGACGACGACGUUGAUAGGCCGGGUGUGUAAGCGCAGCGAUGCGUUGAGCUAACCGGUACUAAUGAACCGUGAGGCUUAACCUU
rnacentral:rRNA from 1 species